UACCAAUCUUCUUCACAGCAUCACCAACAGUGGCACCCUUGGCAUUGUUGAGGAAGGAGACAAGAUUGUCAGCUGGAUGAGAAACAAUAGCACAAAAAACACCAGCAACAUAACCACCAGCAAAGCUCACUCCAAGCUGGAGAGAUUUGCUGCACUCAUCUUUCGGAACAGGCAUGGCAUACUUAUAAAUCAUCUCCACAAUAGUCUCAAAAGAUGCAAA
rnacentral:misc_RNA from 1 species